rnacentral:tRNA from 1 species
AAGGGAGACCUAAUUCGGGUAUAAGACGAAAAAAGAGUAGUCGAAACUAAGAAUCAAUCCCAAAAGGUCGGAACGAGGUAUGUGGCUUUCAAACUAGGUUCUGGGUUCACACAAGACCUGAAUCAGGAACAAGGGCUAUUAGUUCAGGUGGUUAGAGCGCACCCCUGAUAAGGGUGAGGUCCCUGGUUCGAGUCCAGGAUGGCCCACCUGCACAGGUGGCAAAAACAAAGAAGCGAGGAAUCAGCACCUUAUCUUAUCUAUAUAUAAGAGAGAAUGCUGGCUCUGAGUAAAGAGUCCAGAGGAACCUUGAAAACUGCAUAGAGCUAGGUGAAAAAGCCAAAAAAGAAGACCGCAA